AGACCCGAAACCCGGUGAUCUAGCCAUGGGCAGGUUGAAGGUUGGGUAACACUAACUGGAGGACCGAACCGACUAAUGUUGAAAAAUUAGCGGAUGACCUGUGGCUGGGGGUGAAAGGCCAAUCAAACCGGGAGAUAGCUGGUUCUCCCCGAAAGCUAUUUAGGUAGCGCCUCGUGAAUUCAUCUCCGGGGGUAGAGCACUGUUUCGGCUAGGGGGCCAUCCCGGCUUACCAACCCGAUGCAAACUGCGAAUACCGGAGAAUGUUAUCACGGGAGACACACGGCGGGUGCUAACGUCCGUCGUGAAGAGGGAAACAACCCAGACCGCCAGCUAAGGUCCCAAAGUCAUGGUUAAGUGGGAAACGAUGUGGGAAGGCCCAGACAGCCAGGAUGUUGGCUUAGAAGCAGCCAUCAUUUAAAGAAAGCGUAAUAGCUCACUGGUCGAGUCGGCCUGCGCGGAAGAUGUAACGGGGCUAAACCAUGCACCGAAGCUGCGGCAGCGAACGUAUCACCCAAGACAACUUUACGGAGUUGACGAUUGACGGAGCGAAGCGACGUCAAAGCGUUCAUUAAAGUCGAGUUGGCUUAGGGAUACGUUCGUUGGGUAGGGGAGCGUUCUGUAAGCCUGUGAAGGUGUGUCGUGAGGCAUGCUGGAGGUAUCAGAAGUGCGAAUGCUGACAUAAGUAACGAUAAAGCGGGUGAAAAGCCCGCUCGCCGGAAGACCAAGGGUUCCUGUCCAACGUUAAUCGGGGCAGGGUGAGUCGACCCCUAAGGCGAGGCCGAAAGGCGUAGUCGAUGGGAAACGGGUUAAUAUUCCCGUACUUGGUGUUACUGCGAAGGGGGGACGGAGAAGGCUAUGUUGGCCGGGCGACGGUUGUCCCGGUUUAAGCGUGUAGGUGUGUGUUCCAGGUAAAUCCGGUUCACUUUAACACUGAGGCGUGACGACGAGGCACUACGGUGCUGAAGCAACAAAUGCCCUGCUUCCAGGAAAAGCCUCUAAGCAUCAGGUAACACGAAAUCGUACCCCAAACCGACACAGGUGGUCAGGUAGAGAAUACCAAGGCGCUUGAGAGAACUCGGGUGAAGGAACUAGGCAAAAUGGUGCCGUAACUUCGGGAGAAGGCACGCUGACACGUAGGUGAAGUGAUUUACUCAUGGAGCUGAAGUCAGUCGAAGAUACCAGCUGGCUGCAACUGUUUAUUAAAAACACAGCACUGUGCAAACACGAAAGUGGACGUAUACGGUGUGACGCCUGCCCGGUGCCGGAAGGUUAAUUGAUGGGGUCAGCGCAAGCGAAGCUCCUGAUCGAAGCCCCGGUAAACGGCGGCCGUAACUAUAACGGUCCUAAGGUAGCGAAAUUCCUUGUCGGGUAAGUUCCGACCUGCACGAAUGGCGUAAUGAUGGCCAGGCUGUCUCCACCCGAGACUCAGUGAAAUUGAACUCGCUGUGAAGAUGCAGUGUACCCGCGGCAAGACGGAAAGACCCCGUGAACCUUUACUAUAGCUUGACACUGAACAUUGAGCCUUGAUGUGUAG
rnacentral:rRNA from 1 species